UAUAAUAUUACCACAAAUAUUGAAUUUAAUAAUUGGAAUACUUAUAUAUAUUUCAAAAUAUUUAUAUUGACUAUUAAUUUUGGAAUUUUCGGGUUACGUGUUCGGGUUCGGUUAAUAACACUUCGGAUUCGGAUAUUUUUUGUACCACUCUACAAGACCCGUUCGGGUAUUUUUACGUUUCGGAUCGGAUAACGGGUCGGAUUUUUCGGUUCGGGUUCGAUUCGGAUUUCGGGUUCCGGAUUUUAUGCCCAGGCCUACUUGACUCAAUUAAGACAACAAUAACAACUACCAUGUGAGAACACAAGAGGUUUCAGACCAAGACCAGUCAUGUUUUGUCAAACCAAGAAAAGUGGAAGCACCAAUGCUGAUUCUGAACCCUCCAUUGUCUCUCACAAACUCAGACAGGUACCGUCUCAGAAAAUAUAUAGAUAUCCAUAGUAGAAGAUUAGAACAUCUGUAGUCGCAUAGGAGAAGCUCGGGAUCUCAUAUGCAGGGAUCAUCAUCAUCUGCCAUGAUGAACAAACAAUCAUAGAGUGACUCGGUUUGGUUUCUCAUGUUUCUUGUUCUGUUUUUUUUCGAAAAGAGACUUUGGUGGAUAUGAUGUGUGAGUUGUGAUGGUUGUUGUAACAUGUUCCUUGUUCUAUCUUUGAUCCUGAUCCCUUGGUUUAUGUAUUAAGUAGAUGUAUGUAUACGUUUUUUGAUGAGUUUUAUACACUUUUUU